rnacentral:lncRNA from 1 species
UCGAGAGAGAUGAACAUGACUAGUGGAGCAGCUGAAAUGAUGGUUCAGUGUGUCGUCUUUGAUGGAAGCUUGUCGAUGUUAGACAUGGACAUCGAGAGGAGGCCUUAUCAUCGCAACUGCAGCUGUGCAUUGCAUCAAAAGAAGGCGAAACAACUAAAUACUUGCGUCCACGGUAGGAAUAUAUCACCUAAAAGGCAAAAACAGAAAGAUAUGACAUUGUCAAUAACAGCUUCCAAAUUCUCUUCUCCAUCUUAUUCUUCUUCCAAUAUUCACCAGUCCCAAAUGUACAGCAUAUAACUCCAUCUUUAGCAAAUAGUUGAUAGAUUUUCACUAAGUUGCUCGAACUCAUACUACUUUUGAAGGAUCCAACACGUACCUGAUGAUCACAUUUUUGAAGAGUCCGAGCAACAUAGGAUUUUCGAGCAUAGUCAACUCUCCGAUGGAUUGAGUAGUUUGUACUCUGGUAAGUUCAUGUAUACAUCAGUGGCAACUUCAUACUUACUAGAAACUUAAAAAACGAAAAAAUGUUUUUCCUCUUCAGGAUGUGUAUAUGAGCAAA